GUUCGCAAGCUCAGCGCCGGGGCCACCAAGGGGGAGAGGCCGGGCGUCGGGAAGCCCCCGGCCGCGUCCCCCCGGAGCCACAGUCAGGACCUGGGCAGCCCCCCGGGGGCCGCCCACCAGCUCACCAUCCUCCCCCUGGCCCACAGAGACCUGGUGAGGCGUCUGUUCUGCGUGCGGUAGACGUGGUCCUGACCGCAGCGACCCGGGUUUGAUUCCUGCCUGGGGUUCAUGCUGCACGCCCUCCCCCUCUAACUCCCACACCGUCCAGUCCAUCUCGCUCGGUCAUAAAGCGUUAAAAUGAUCAACAAAAAUCUUUAGAUGUAAAACCGUGGGGCGGGGCGGGAUAUCCCCAACUCAACCCACCAGAGUUGUUCCCUACACCCAGUAAGUAAACACAUUAGACUUGAUGGAGCAUAAAGUAAACAGCAGAGGAUUAGUCUUCUAUAAAUAUGAGGACAUAAAUACCUCCUGACCCGGAGUGUUGACGCAGGGUAGAGAGGAGAGGAUGAGCUCAUGUUUAAUCACGCUUUGAAUAAGGGUCUCUGUGUGUAUGAGGUGUGUGUGUGUGUGUGUGUGUGUGUGUGUGUGUGUGUGUGUGUGUGUGUGUGUGUGUGUGUGUGUGUGUGUGUGUGUGUGUGUGUGUGUGUGUGUGUGUGUGUGCGCUUGAGAGAGACAAGGGGGUUAAGGAUUGUGUAUGUGUUGGAUAAUGUAUAUUGGACAGACCUUUGGGAAUGAUCAAAUCAUGGAAUGUCAGGAGUAAUGGUCCACUUCGGUAACCAUUGACAACCCCAUGCCGUUUCUCUUGACCCCAGCUCCUCCAACGGGGCUCCUCUACCGGGGAAGCACCAUAGAAGAGGUGGUCCCACCAGGUCCUAAUCGAUAGGGGAUGCUGCUAGCCGAUAGCUAUAAUGCUUUAAUGGCCAGGCUCUCAUCUCGCUGUGCCUGCGAUGGUUUCAUCAGACUCUAUGUCUACAGUGUGUGUUUGUGCUUAUGCACAUGUGUAAACAUACUUUUACAGCAUGCGGUUUGUUGUCUGGGUCUACAAAGUGUUACAACAAUAACGAAUGUAUCUGUGUGUGUGUGUGUGUGCAUAUGUUUGUUUUUGUGUGUGUGUGUGAGUGUGUGUGUGCGUGUGUGUUUUUGAGUAUGUUUGUGUGCGUUUGUGUGUGUGUUUGGUGUGUGUGGAAGCGCGUGUGUGUGUGUGCGUGUGUGUGUGUAUGUUUUUGUAUGUUUGUGUGUGCGUGUGUGUGUGUGUGUGUGUUGCAGGAGUUGAGAGAGGGCCUGGCCAGCCCAGAGGACCUGUCCCCUGCCACCCUGCACUCCCCCAGCUUUGUAACGGACUCCCUGAUGGGCUGCACCUCGCUGCCACUCACCCAGGACACUGAGUCCACCAAUGCGGUGCCAGAUGACAGCAGCUCUGCCCUGAUGGACGACACCUCCAGCCAGUCCUCUGAGGCGGCCUGCACAGAGGAGGACAGGAGGAGCGCCUUAGAGAAAAGCAUGUAUGUGUUCAGCCCGCCCAAGGCUCAGCGACUCAAACCACACUGA
ensembl:lncRNA